rnacentral:lncRNA from 10 species
UAAGCUAAGAACUACUUCUGGCAGGUUGAAUAUGAGCUUUCCAAAAGCAUCAGCACUGUUUGUCUUAUGUUGGAUCCUUAUCUCCCAGCAUGGUGCCUGGUACGUAUUAAGCAAUCAGUAAAUGUUUAUUAAGAGAAUAAAGUUUUAGGAUUUAAAAGUAACUUAGAAACCAUCGAAUCCAUCUAGUCCCUUUCCCCAAUUCAGGGCUUAAUUUUCAGCCCUCUGUAAUGCAGAGGCUACUUGGAUAG